rnacentral:rRNA from 1 species
GAUGAACGCUGGCGGCGUGCCUAAUACAUGCAAGUCGAGCGAACAGACGAGGAGCAUGCUCCUCUGACGUUAGCGGCGGACGGGUGAGUAACACGUGGAUAACCUACCUAUAAGACUGGGAUAACUUCGGGAAACCGGAGCUAAUACCGGAUAAUAUAUUGAACCGCAUGGUUCAAUAGUGAAAGACGGUUUUGCUGUCACUUAUAGAUGGAUCCGCGCCGCAUUAGCUAGUUGGUAAGGUAACGGCUUACCAAGGCAACGAUGCGUAGCCGACCUGAGAGGGAGAUCGGCCACACUGGAACUGAGACACGGUCCAGACUCCUACGGGAGGCAGCAGUAGGGAAUCUUCCGCAAUGGGCGAAAGCCUGACGGAGCAACGCCGCGUGAGUGAUGAAGGUCUUCGGAUCGUAAAACUCUGUUAUUAGGGAAGAACAAAUGUGUAAGUAACUAUGCACGUCUUGACGGUACCUAAUCAGAAAGCCACGGCUAACUACGUG